rnacentral:lncRNA from 1 species
GCCGUACGCGUUUAAAGACGGAAAAAGCAAAAAAAAAAAGCAGUUGCGAGCCAAAAUACGUUACCGGGAAUAGUGUUGCUUUUAUUUCUUGAUAAUUACGAUACCCGGUUGGUUUGGUCGUGCUGCUUUUCAUGAAGUACCCCAGUGACGGAUAUAACUUACGACGCGCUCGACUACGCGCUUGCGCGGUUAUGAGCAGAACUAAAUGAAGCCCGCAGCUUGCUCAUAACGCGCUUUCCGGGCUGUCCUAUGUCACAGGCGUUCAUUCUCGCCUACCGCCGGCCGGGAAUAGGCAGUGGUCCCGCUUUUAGUUGCAUGGGCGCUCGCGUUUGUUUUUUCCGAUUUUUUGCGCUCCUCUUUUUGACGCGUUUGCGAGUUGGUUCCCCUGCCUUUUGCACCUCACCCGGUCUUUGCGUACCUCCGGGAUCGGCCCUCCUUACUUGUAUCAUUCACGU